ensembl:lncRNA
AGGGAAGGACGCGGGGGCCUUCCUUACGCCGCCUCCGUAGCGCCCCGCCCCCGCCGGGCCCCGGCUGUCGUAAAGCCGCUUCGGGAAUCGGGGCGGGCUCUACGCGAAGUGCGCAGUCUCCCUACGCUGUUUGCGUACCGUGGUGAGAACAGGUACACUUUCCACGUUAAACCUGCCUGGGAGGAACCAGUGCUGUUUGGUCUCUGCAAACUGCUGACGUUCCGGCUCUGUGACCAGUUUUGUCAGUGGACUUGAAUGAGGCUGCAAAGCCAGGCAUAUGUGAAGCUGAAACACAUGCUGAAGCAUCCAGACGGUGCCUCAAGCUGGCCACACGUUCCCAGAAAUAAAGAAAAACACCAGAGCCUACCUGCAGAAUGACCUUUCUCCUAGCUGACUUGCAGCUCCCAAGCUUUUGUGCUGGAAGAGAUAGGACUUGCCAGUGAAAGCAGAGCUUGCAUCUGCUUGAUGUCUUUGGAUCAAGUAAUCUGCCAGCCAAAGCAGUCUCUUCUUGCCUGCUUCCAAGAGGCAUGAGCUUAAACAACUGGUCUCAGAGUGGGGUAUAUCUACAGUCUUAGCUGUGAAGAAAGGAGAUGAAAUGUUCUCCUGUUCAGUGUAUGUGGAAGAGACUGGAGCUGAGUUGCUAUCUUCGUAACAGUAAAACUACAGCGAGAUCUGAAUUCUUUGUUCAUGUUUCAUCGCCUGCUUUGAGGCAAGCAGUGGUGAUGAGUUCAGACAUCAGCCGUAGGGUGAGUACAGAUACCACCCACACCAGCUCCACCAGCAGACUGCAGACUGUAUCUGGUUCCUCCGUUCCUGUCUGUCCCUCACAGCCCUGCCGCAGGCCCUAAUAGAUGUAGAAGCCUUGUUAUACAGGACUCAGGCCCAGGGAUGGCAUGCUGCUGUUGCUGAGCAGUGCUGGCGAUGAUGACCUAAAGUGGUUUUGAUGAGAUUCAACACCAGGUGAACCCCACCUGGAGUACUCUAUCCAGUUCUGGAGCCCACAACACAAGAAGGACAUGGAGCUGUUGGAGCAGGUCCAGAGGAGAGCCAUGAAGAUCAUCAGGCCUGGAGCACCUCCACUAUGAGGACAGGUUGAGAGAGCUGGGGCUCUUCAGCCUGAAGAAGAGAAGGCUCAGAGGAGACCUGAUAGUGGCCUUCCAGGACCUGAAGGGGCCUACAGGAAAGCUGGGUAGGGACUUUUUAUAAGCGCAGGUAGUAACAGGACAAGGGGGAAUUGGUUUUAAACUGGAAGAGGGCAGAUUUAGAGUAGAUAUUAGGAAGAAAUUCUUUCCUGUGAGGGUGGUGAGACACUGGAACAGGCUGCCCAGAGAGGUUGGGGAUGCUCCUCCCUGAAGCACUCAAGGCCAGGCUGGAUGGGGCUGUGAGCAACCUGGGCUAGAGAGAGGUGUCCCUGCCUAGAGCAAUGGGGGUGAAACUAAAUGAUCUUAAAGGUCCCUUCCAACCCAGACCAUUCUAUGAUUCUAUGAAAGAAAAUCAUUUUAAUGUCAGGAGUGGCUUGUGCUCUUUCUUAGGAAACAGGUUUAGGUAUCUUUGCACAGAGGAUCCUCGUCUUCAGAGAGGAGUUUGUGUUCUCUCUGAAGAGUUCAGGAUUUAAACACAGAAGGCAGACGGGAGCAGAAGGAGGAGGAUGGCUGUGAGAGGAAGUCAACACACAGCUGGAAUGACACCCCAGGCUGCUGCAUCAGCACGAAUCCUUGUGGGCUUUGCUUGGUGUCUGAACAGCAUUCAGAUGUGGGCAAACACUAUAUGGAAGGAAGCUCAUUAUUAUCUACAAGACAUCGUGAGGGGUAAAGAGCCUUUAAAAAACAAUCUUGUAUACCCAGAGGAACUGAAGAGGCCUCCUGAGCUCCUGUUUGGGUCAGGAGAAGAGGUGCCUGGGAGAGACAGAAAAAGAAGAGAAAGCCUAAGAAAGAAAACAGAAUAAGGAGGCUCACUUCCAUGGUUUAUUGGGUCCAGAGAGAUUUCUGUAAACCACAUGGUAUCAGGUGUAAAAGAAAUGAAAGACGAUAACCAAUGUGGAAGAAUGGAGCAGCCCAAACCUCCCACAGCCCAAUGCGUCUGCAGAAAUGUUGGCGAGGCUUAACCAGCAAUUUAUGGUGUACCUGCUGUCCGAGAGCAGCCCCUCCACCUCGUUCCUGUCAAGAAGAGGUCCUGAUUCAUGUCAUCUGUUUUUAUUUUCUCCAG